rnacentral:rRNA from 1 species
GACGAACGCUGGCGGCGUGCUUAACACGUGCAAGUCGAGCGGUAAGGCCCUUUCGGGGGUACACGAGCGGCGAACGGGUGAGUAACACGUGGGUGACCUGCCCUCAGCUCUGGGAUAAGCCCGGGAAACUGGGUCUAAUACCGGAUAUGACUCCAUGACGCAUGUUGUGGGGUGGAAAGCCUUGUGCGGCUGAGGAUGGGCCCGCGGCCUAUCAGCUUGUUGGUGGGGUGAUGGCCUACCAAGGCGACGACGGGUAGCCGGCCUGAGAGGGCGGCCGGCCACACUGGGACUGAGAUACGGCCCAGACUCCUACGGGAGGCAGCAGUGGGAAUCUUGCGCAAUGGGCGAAAGCCUGACGCAGCGACGCCGCGUGAGGGAUGACGGCCUCGGUUGUAA